UCCGGUUUCCCACGGAGUUCCCCGCUUGGCGCUUGCUUGCGCGUCUUGGAGUACUGGUCGGGUUUCACCCCCAUCAGUUGGCGCUGUCUGUGAUUCAAAGAUACUCACGACAAAAGCUCCUCGACUUUUUCGAAAAAAGUGAUCGACUUUUUUCCAAGUCACCAGCUAGGGAGUCUUGCGAGGAAAUCAGCCAGCAAGGGAUCGACUUUUCAGAAGAU
rnacentral:lncRNA from 1 species